rnacentral:rRNA from 1 species
AACAUCUUAGUACCCGGAGGAAGAGAAAGAAAAUUCGAUUCCCUUAGUAGCGGCGAGCGAAACGGGAAGAGCCCAAACCAACAAGCUUGCUUGUUGGGGUUGUAGGACACUCUAUACGGAGUUACAAAGGACGACAUUAGACGAAUCAUCUGGAAAGAUGAAUCAAAGAAGGUAAUAAUCCUGUAGUCGAAAAUGUUGUCUCUCUUGAGUGGAUCCUGAGUACGACGGAGCACGUGAAAUUCCGUCGGAAUCUGGGAGGACCAUCUCCUAAGGCUAAAUACUCUCUAGUGACCGAUAGUGAACCAGUACCGUGAGGGAAAGGUGAAAAGCACCCCGGAAGGGGAGUGAAAUAGAACCUGAAACCGUGUGCUUACAAGUAGUCAGAGCCCGUUAAUGGGUGAUGGCGUGCCUUUUGUAGAAUGAACCGGCGAGUUACGAUUUGAUGCAAGGUUAAGCAGUAAAUGUGGAGCCGUAGCGAAAGCGAGUCUGAAUAGGGCGUUUAGUAUUUGGUCGUAGACCCGAAACCAGGUGAUCUACCCUUGGUCAGGUUGAAGUUCAGGUAACACUGAAUGGAGGACCGAACCGACUUACGUUGAAAAGUGAGCGGAUGAACUGAGGGUAGCGGAGAAAUUCCAAUCGAACCUGGAGAUAGCUGGUUCUCUCCGAAAUAGCUUUAGGGCUAGCCUCAAGUGAUGAUUAUUGGAGGUAGAGCACUGUUUGGACGAGGGGCCCCUCUCGGGUUACCGAAUUCAGACAAACUCCGAAUGCCAAUUAAUUUAACUUGGGAGUCAGAACAUGGGUGAUAAGGUCCGUGUUCGAAAGGGAAACAGCCCAGACCACCAGCUAAGGUCCCAAAAUAUAUGUUAAGUGGAAAAGGAUGUGGCGUUGCCCAGACAACUAGGAUGUUGGCUUAGAAGCAGCCAUCAUUUAAAGAGUGCGUAAUAGCUCACUAGUCGAGUGACACUGCGCCGAAAAUGUACCGGGGCUAAACAUAUUACCGAAGCUGUGGAUUGUCCUUUGGACAAUGGUAGGAGAGCGUUCUAAGGGCGUUGAAGCAUGAUCGUAAGGACAUGUGGAGCGCUUAGAAGUGAGAAUGCCGGUGUGAGUAGCGAAAGACGGGUGAGAAUCCCGUCCACCGAUUGACUAAGGUUUCCAGAGGAAGGCUCGUCCGCUCUGGGUUAGUCGGGUCCUAAGCUGAGGCCGACAGGCGUAGGCGAUGGAUAACAGGUUGAUAUUCCUGUACCACCUAUAAUCGUUUUAAUCGAUGGGGGGACGCAGUAGGAUAGGCGAAGCGUGCGAUUGGAUUGCACGUCUAAGCAGUAAGGCUGAGUAUUAGGCAAAUCCGGUACUCGUUAAGGCUGAGCUGUGAUGGGGAGAAGACAUUGAGUCUUCGAGUCGUUGAUUUCACACUGCCGAGAAAAGCCUCUAGAUAGAAAAUAGGUGCCCGUACCGCAAACCGACACAGGUAGUCAAGAUGAGAAUUCUAAGGUGAGCGAGCGAACUCUCGUUAAGGAACUCGGCAAAAUGACCCCGUAACUUCGGGAGAAGGGGUGCUCUUUAGGGUUAACGCCCAGAAGAGCCGCAGUGAAUAGGCCCAAGCGACUGUUUAUCAAAAACACAGGUCUCUGCUAAACCGUAAGGUGAUGUAUAGGGGCUGACGCCUGCCCGGUGCUGGAAGGUUAAGAGGAGUGGUUAGCUUCUGCGAAGCUACGAAUCGAAGCCCCAGUAAACGGCGGCCGUAACUAUAACGGUCCUAAGGUAGCGAAAUUCCUUGUCGGGUAAGUUCCGACCCGCACGAAAGGCGUAACGAUUUGGGCACUGUCUCAACGAGAGACUCGGUGAAAUCAUAGUACCUGUGAAGAUGCAGGUUACCCGCGACAGGACGGAAAGACCCCGUGGAGCUUUACUGUAGCCUGAUAUUGAAAUUCGGCACAGCUUGUACAGGAUAGGUAGGAGCCUUUGAAACGUGAGCGCUAGCUUACGUGGAGGCGCUGGUGGGAUACUACCCUAGCUGUGUUGGCUUUCUAACCCGCACCACUUAUCGUGGUGGGAGACAGUGUCAAGCGGGCAGUUUGACUGGGGCGGUCGCCUCCUAAAAGGUAACGGAGGCGCUCAAAGGUUCCCUCAGAAUGGUUGGAAAUCAUUCAUAGAGUGUAAAGGCAUAAGGGAGCUUGACUGCGAGACCUACAAGUCGAGCAGGGUCGAAAGACGGACUUAGUGAUCCGGUGGUUCCGCAUGGAAGGGCCAUCGCUCAACGGAUAAAAGCUACCCCGGGGAUAACAGGCUUAUCUCCCCCAAGAGUUCACAUCGACGGGGAGGUUUGGCACCUCGAUGUCGGCUCAUCGCAUCCUGGGGCUGUAGUCGGUCCCAAGGGUUGGGCUGUUCGCCCAUUAAAGCGGUACGCGAGCUGGGUUCAGAACGUCGUGAGACAGUUCGGUCCCUAUCCGUCGUGGGCGUAGGAAAUUUGAGAGGAGCUGUCCUUAGUACGAGAGGACCGGGAUGGACAUACCUCUGGUGUACCAGUUGUCGUGCCAACGGCAUAGCUGGGUAGCUAUGUGUGGACGGGAUAAGUGCUGAAAGCAUCUAAGCAUGAAGCCCCCCUCAAGAUGAGAUUUCCCAACUUCGGUUAUAAGAUCCCUCAAAGAUGAUGAGGUUAAUAGGUUCGAGGUGGAAGCAUGGUGACAUGUGGAGCUGACGAAUACUAAUCGAUCGAAGACUUAAUCAA